rnacentral:rRNA from 1 species
CCUACGGGGGGCAGCAGUAGGGAAUCUUUCACAAUGGGCGAAAGCCUGAUGGAGCAACGCCGCGUGCAGGAUGAAGGCCUUCGGGUUGUAAACUGCUUUUAUAAGCGAGAAAUAUGAUGGUAACUUAUGAAUAAGGAUCGGCUAACUACGUGCCAGCAGCCGCGGUCAUACGUAGGAUCCGAGCAUUAUCCGGAGUGGCUGGGUGUAAAGAGUUGCGUAGGUGGGAUAAUAAGUAGCUAGUGAAAUCUGGUGGCUUAACCAUUCAGACUAUUAGCGAAACUGUUAAGCUCGAGACCGUUAGGGGUAACUGGAAUUUUUGGUGUAGGAGUGAAAUCCGUAGAGAUUAGAAGGAACACCAAUAGCGUAGGCAGGUUGCUGGGACGGUUCUGACACUAAGGCACGAAAGCGUAGGGAGCAAACGGGAUUAGAUACCCGUGUAGUC